AACUCAGAUAAAGAGCAACAGGUAGUUUUCCUUCCAUAACAUAACCUCAAUUCUUCUUAUUACUCAUCUAUCUUAUCUGGAUGACUCAAUUUUUAUUUGGGAUUGGUUUUUUUGACCGGCAGAUAGAUAGGGAAGCAGAAUUAGGGAGCUAGAUGACAACAUAUUAGAGAAUUAAGGUGCUUAUUCAUCCACAUAUUAGGCUGACUAGGCUAGCCUAAUAGCUGGAGUUGGAAAUCUAGGUCUAGCUCUUAAUCAGUAGAAUUUGUCCUAUAAAUAGUGGGCGUUGGAAACCCUAAUUUGAUUUUCCCAAUCUGAGUGUUUUGAGAAUUUUGUAUAUCUGCAUACGAAAGGGGAAAUUUCAAGUCCGUUUCUGGUUUGAAGAGCUUACGGAGAAGCUCAAUUUCUGCAAAUAAGGUCAUGGACCGGAGAACUAGUUGUGUAUUUUGUGUGAAGUCUGGAGCAGUGUGUACACAAAUAAAUGAAGAAGCUCGGAUGUUUUCUUCUUUUCUUUUUGUUAUUUUGCUUUCUUUCGUGGUUUUUGGUUUGUUGGAAUAAGGAACUACUUGUGUGAUUUUUUUAGUAGUAUUUCGAAUGUAAAAGUACUUUAAUAAAGUACAUGUUUCCGCUGUUUU